CCACUUUUACACAUCAACUACUAUGUCAAAAAAAAGAACCACACCAUGCCAGAUUUCUCCGAAUUACCUACUCUGCAGCGUCUGUUCUUUGACUUGGCCGUGUUUCUUGUAAUUGACGAGGUUGGGCUUUAUUACGUUCACAGAUUACAACAUCACCCGAAAUUGUACGCGGCAGUUUAAAAGAAACAUCACGAGUGGAACGCCCCAAUUGCCAUCGUAUUCACGUAUAGCACCCAAAUGGAAUAUCUGAUUACCCUCCUUCCAGUCAAUAUAGGCCCACACAUUAUGAACCCACACAUAGUCACCUUGUGGAUAUAUGGUACGCCCUAGUCCACCUGAGAGGCAUCAAGAACCACAGCGGUUAUCACUUCCCGUGGUUUAUGUGGCCGUCAGCUCAUGCGCACGACUUCCAACACAUGACGAGCAACAGUUGCUUCGGUAAAUCCCUUGUGCUUGAUCGACUCCAUGGAACGGACAAGGACUUCCGCGUUUACAUGGCUCGCAAGAAAGAAA